rnacentral:rRNA from 1 species
UACAGAGGGUGCUAGCGUUGUUCGGAAUUACUGGGCGUAAAGGGCGCGUAGGCGGCUUAGUUAGUCAGAUGUGAAAUCUCGGGGCUUAGCUCCGAACGUGCAUUUUGAAACUGCUAGGCUAGAGUGCAGUAGAGGUUGGUGGAAAUUUCCCAGUGUAGAGGUGAAAUUCGUAGAUAUUGGGGAGGAACACCGGUGGCGAAGGCGGCCAACUGGGCUGCAACUGGACGCUGAGGCGCGAAAGCGUGGGGAUCAAACAGG